CCCGUUUUGUUUCCUUUCCACCUUUCCAGGCGUGAUAGGUGGCCGAUGCCCUCAGGAGGAGUGCAGAGGAAUUCUCGAGACUGGGAAAACUCUGAAGUAUCACUCUCUUGCACCUGAGGGGGUCAGUCUGCCACGGACAAUUAUCACCCUGCUGCGGCCA